AAAAUGACUCUCGGCAACGGAUAUCUCGGCUCUCGCAUCGAUGAAGAACGUAGCGAAAUGCGAUACUUGGUGUGAAUUGCAGAAUCCCGUGAACCAUCGAGUCUUUGAACGCAAGUUGCGCCCCAAGCCUUCUGGCCGAGGGCACGUCUGCCUGGGUGUCACAA
rnacentral:rRNA from 2 species